rnacentral:rRNA from 1 species
GGAGUCUAGCAUGUGCGCAAGUCAUUGGGAUAUGACUAAACCUAAAGGCAUAAUGAAAGUAAAAGUUCAUCUUGCAUGAACUAAGGGAAGAUGAGUUUAAAUUACGAUUUUUACUCCGCACUCCCGGGGCGUCUCAUUCUCAUUGCGAGAAGAGGCGCACCAAGAGCGUACACGCUGGGACCCGAAAGAUGGUGAACUAUGCCUGGUCAGGACGAAGUCAGGGGAAACCCUGAUGGAGGUCCGUAGCGAUUCUGACGUGCAAAUCGAUCGUCGGAACUGGGUAUAGGGGCGAAAGACUAAUCGAACCAUCUAGUAGCUGGUUCCCUCCGAAGUUUCCCUCAGGAUAGCUGGCGCUCAUUGCGUACAAGUUUCAUCCGGUAAAGCGAAUGAUUAGAGGCAUUGGGGUCGAAACGGCCUCAACCUAUUCUCAAACUUUAAAUGGGUGAGAUCUCCGGCUUGCUCGAACUUUAUGAUGAAGCCGAGAGACUCGAAUUAGAGUGCCAAGUGGGCCAUUUUUGGUAAGCAGAACUGGCGCUGUGGGAUGAACCAAACGCUGAGUUAAAGCGCCUAAAUCGACGCUUAUGGGAUACCAUAAAAGGCGUUGGUAACUUAAGACAUCAGGACGGUGGCCAUGGAAGUC